GUGCAGCAGUCGAGAAACCUUCGCAAUGCGGGAAACCGCGACGAGGGGACUCCCAGUGCCUACGCUCAGCGUAGGCUGUUCCCGAGCCUAGAAAGCUCGGGGAGUAAGGGCUGGGUAAGACGGGUGCCAGCCGCCGCGGUAAUACCCGCAGCCCGAGUGGUGGCCACUAUUAUUGGGCCUAAAGCGUCCGUAGCCGGCCCGGUAAAUGCCUGGGUAAAUCGUGAGGCCUAACCUCACGAAUUCCGGGUAGACUGCCGGGCUAGGGACCGGAGGAGGGAGAGGGUACUCCAGGGGUAGGGGUGAAAUCCUGUAAUCCCUGGAGGACCACCGGUGGCGAAGGCGCUCUCCUAGGACGGGUCCGACGGUGAGGGACGAAAGCCAGGGGAGCGAACCGGAUUAGAUACCCCUGUAGU
rnacentral:rRNA from 1 species